ACGCACGCUGGCGGCGUGCCUAAUACAUGCAAGUUGAGCGCUGAAGGUUGGUACUUGUACCAACUGGAUGAGCAGCGAACGGGUGAGUAACGCGUGGGGAAUCUGCCUUUGAGCGGGGGACAACAUUUGGAAACGAAUGCUAAUACCGCAUAAAAACUUUAAACACAAGUUUUAAGUUUGAAAGAUGCAAUUGCAUCACUCAAAGAUGAUCCCGCGUUGUAUUAGCUAGUUGGUGAGGUAAAGGCUCACCAAGGCGAUGAUACAUAGCCGACCUGAGAGGGUGAUCGGCCAAAUUGGGACUGAGACACGGCCCAAACUCCUACGGGAGGCAGCAGUAGGGAAUCUUCGGCAAUGGACGAAAGUCUGACCGAGCAACGCCGCGUGAGUGAAGAAGGUUUUCGGAUCGUAAAACUCUGUUGGUAGAGAAGAACGUUGGUGAGAGUGGAAAGCUCAUCAAGUGACGGUAACUACCCAGAAAGGGACGGCUAACUACGUG
rnacentral:rRNA from 1 species